rnacentral:rRNA from 1 species
ACGAACAUUGGCGGCAUGUCUAAGGCAUGCAAGUCGAGGGACAGGUUUUUUGUAGCAAUACAGAAAACACUGACCGGCAAACGGGAGAGUAACACAUUGGUAACCUACCUAUGAGACGGGCAUAGCCCAUCGAAAGAUGGAUUAACACCCGAUGGUCAUGAGGGGACACAAGUCAUUCUCAUGUAAAUAAUUUAUUGCUCAUAGAGGGGCCUAUGUCUGAUUAGCUAGUUGGUAGGGUAAUGGCCUACCAAGGCUCCGAUCAGUACCGGGCGUGAGAGCGUGACCCGGCCCACUGGGACUGAGACACUGCCCAGACACCUACGGGUGGCUGCAGUCAAGAAUAUUCCUCAAUGCACGAAAGUGUGAAGGAGCAAUGCCGCGUGCAGGAAGACGCCCCUCGGGGUGUAAACUGCUUUUAUAUGUCAAGAAAAUGACGGUAGCAUAUGAAUAAGCACCGGCUAACUCCGU